rnacentral:rRNA from 1 species
GAUGAACGCUGGCGGCGUGCCUAAUACAUGCAAGUCGAGCGAACGGACGAGAAGCUUGCUUCUCUGAUGUUAGCGGCGGACGGGUGAGUAACACGUGGAUAACCUACCUAUAAGACUGGGAUAACUUCGGGAAACCGGAGCUAAUACCGGAUAAUAUUUUGAACCGCAUUGUUCAAAAGUGAAAGACGGUCUUGCUGUCACUUAUAGAUGGAUCCGCGCUGCAUUAGCUAGUUGUUAAGGAAACGGCUUACCAAGGCAACGAUGGAUAGCCGACCUGAGAGGGGGAUCGCCCACACGGGAACUGAGACAGGGUCCAGACUCCUACGGUAGGCAGCAGUAGAGAAUCUUACGCAAUGGGGGAGAGCCUGACGGAGCAACGCGGCGUGAGUGAUGAAGGUCUUCGGAUCGUAAAACUCUGUUAUUAGGGAAGAACAUAUGUGUAAGUAACUGUGAACAUCUUGACGGUACCUAAUCAGAAAGCCACGGCUAACUACGUG